rnacentral:rRNA from 1 species
UACGUAGGGGGCAAGCGUUGUCCGGAUUAUUGGGCGUAAAGAGCGUGUAGGCGGCCAGACAGGUCAGCUGUGAAAACUCGAGGCUCAACCUCGAGACGUCGGUUGAAACCGUCUGGCUAGAGUCCGGAAGAGGAGAGUGGAAUUCCCGGUGUAGCGGUGAAAUGCGCAGAUAUCGGGAAGAACACCCGUGGCGAAGGCGGCUCUCUGGGACGGUACUGGACGCUGAGACGCGAAAGCGUGGGGAGCGAACAGG